rnacentral:rRNA from 1 species
UAUCCUUAUUUGCCAGCACGUCAUGGUGGGAACUAUAAGGAGACUGCCGGUGAUAAACCGGAGGAAGGCGGGGACGACGUCAAGUCAUCAUGGCCCUUACGACCAGGGCUACACACGUGCUACAAUGGGAAGGACAAAGGGUUGCUAAGCCGCGAGGUGGUGCUAAUCUCAUAAACCUUUUCGUAGUCCGGAUCGGAGUCUGCAACUCGACUCCGUGAAGUCGGAAUCGCUAGUAAUCGUGGAUCAGAAUGCCACGGUGAAUACGUUC